rnacentral:rRNA from 1 species
UACAGAGGUCCCGAGCGUUGUUCGGAUUCACUGGGCGUAAAGGGUGCGUAGGUGGUGGGGUAAGUCGGAUGUGAAAGCUCGGAGCUCAACUCCGAAAUGGCAUUGGAAACUACCCUGCUGGAGGGUCGGAGGGGAGACUGGAAUUCUCGGUGUAGCAGUGAAAUGCGUAGAUAUCGAGAGGAACACCAGUGGCGAAGGCGAGUCUCUGGACGACUCCUGACACUGAGGCACGAAAGCCAGGGGAGCAAACAGG